UAGAAUGCUGUCCUCCCACACCCUGGUGAGGCAGAUAAUAGUUGUUUGUUGUUUUUACAGAAUGAAAAAUAGAAAUUAAAAAAGCCCAACUCAAGAUACCAAAAAGGUAGCCCUUCCCUCAGGGAAUCCCAGAGGUAGUGCCCUGGAGAAAAGAUCUGGUAACUCUACUUACACAUCUGGCAUCAGGUAAAGACAUGUCUUAGGAAACAGGAAACCCUACUGAGAAAGGAGGAGAAGUUGAAGAAAGACACCACUAGAAAGGAGGCCAGGGAUACAAGAUCUGUGACUUGCAGGAAGAAGGAGGAUUGCUAAGUGCCCUCUUCUCCAAAUACCCCAAGCAUGCAAAGUGAUUUCCUCCGAGAGAACUCAUUAUUAUAACCAAAAACUUUUUGUAUUUCAGUACUUCCAGCACCUGUCACUUCCUUGGGUGUAUAUACUCGCUCCAGCCAUGCAUAUGAUAAGGUCUAUGUAACUUAGGAGACCAUUGCUAAGGUCAAGAGAUGAAUCACCCUUUGGUGAAUCUUGUGGUGAGUCCAUACGGGCUGAUUAAAACUUAGUUUUAACAGGUACUGCUCUAUCCAUCCUUGAGACCAAACAAACAAACAAACAAAAAAAAAAGCCUUUCUGACUCAAAGAAGCUGACAGGUGUAAUGUUCUGACAACAUCGUCUCUGACCAUCCAGGACAUCUCUCUCAUGGGAUGACACAUCAACAUAGUUUUUGUGUACAUCACUCAUUUGUGAUUCAAUUUUUUUCUGACUCUUCUGAUCCCUUUACGAGCUUUCUUGGCAGAGAUACUGGAGUGAUUUGCCUUUUUUUCCCCCUCCAGCUCAUUUUUAUAGAUGAGAGAACUGAGGCAAACACAGUUAAAUGACUUGCCCAGGAUCACACAGUUAGAAACUAUCUAAAACCAGAUUUGAACCCAGGAAGAUGCAUCUUCCUGACUCUGGAGCCAGGGCUCUAUUCACUGCACCACCUAGCUGUCUGAAUGUUAUGCAUACAAUAAAGAAAACAUUCAGAAUCAUUUCAUGCACAUCAACAAGGAGCAAAUGCUCUCUUCAGGCAUCUUUCAAUGUGUUCAUGGCUUUUACAGUUGUUGAAAUAUAGGCAGGAGACCAGGAAAAGAGUCAUAGUUCCAAUAUGAGUUAUGUGGCACUUAGUAGGUUAUUUAUUCUCAUCUGUAAAAUGAAUUUGUACCAGAUGACUCCUAAGGCCUGUUUCAUUUCUAACAGACUGUGUAAAAGAACCACUAGAUUUGGAAUGUGAAAGCUAGACAGUCAAUCAACAAUCAAUCAACAUUUAUUAAGCAUUUUGUAUGUGCCAACCACCAAGGUAUGUGUUGGAGAUACCAAGAGAGGCAAAACCCAACCAAACCAAAAUAUCCUGUCCUUGUUCGCAACAAACAAGGGCAGCUUGUUCUAAUGGGUGACCUCACAGUCUAAUGGGGGAGACACCAUUCAAUCAACUGUGUACAAGUAAGCAGUAUAGAGGAUAAAUUGGAGAUAAACAAAAGAGGGAUAGCAUUAAUGUUAAGAGGUACUAGGAAAGGCAGCUUCUUAGUAAGUCAUAUUAGUUGGGAGUUGAAGGAAAUCGGGGAAGCCAGGAGACAGAGAUGAACAUUCUCUGAAUAGGAAGCAACCAGGUGAAAAUGUCUGAAGUUGCUAGAUGGAAUCUUUUGUUUGAAGUAACAGUAAAGAGGUCAGAGGUUAAUGUUACUGAAUUAUGGAGGAAAUGGGUUAAGGUUGCAAAAUAAAAUUUAAGAAGAUUGGAAAAAGGAUUCCAGACUAUGAACUUUACAUGAGAAUCUGGAGAUCACCUAGCUUAUUUCUCCUCAUUUAACAUGAGAGGAAUUUGAAGUCCAAAAGGUUUUAGAUGUUGGCACUGAUUAUAAGAGGGGCAGCUAGGUAGCUCAUGGAUAGAGCUUGAAUUCCAAUAUGGCCUUAGAUACUAACUAGCUCUGUUAUCCUGGGCAAAUCCCUUAAAUCUGUUUGCCUCAGUUUCCUCAUUUAUAAAAUGAGCUGGAGAAGAAAAUGUCAAGCCAUUCCCAUGAUCUCUGCCAAGAAACCCUAAAUGGAUCACAAAGAGUGGAUUACAACUAAGAAACAAUUUAACAACAACUGAGAUUUGAAGCCAGAAUAUGCCUCACUGAAAUGGGCUCUAAUCAUUGUAUUAGAAUGUGUCCCCUUCUUGUCUUCCCAUCUCUCACUCUUUUGUAAAGGAAGGAACCCUAUAUGAGGGUAGAGAGAAAGCAAGACAGAAUAUUACAUGACAAAGUGGGUAGAGUUUUAAAACUUGGAGUCAGGAAGACCUAAGUUUGAAUCAUGUACUUCCUUGUUGUGUCACCAUGGACAACACUCUUUUGGCCUUGGUUUCCUCGUUUGUAAAAUGGGAAUAGUAAGAGUACCUAACUCAGCAGGUUAUGGUAAGGAUAAAAAGAGAUAACAUAAAAAGUGCUAUAAAAAUGUUAGCUAUUCCAGUGAAAUUAAUCAAGCAAGUAAAUGUUAAUUAAGCAUUCACUGUGUGCCAAGCACUGUGCUAUAUGUAGGAAUAUAAAGGCAAAACUGAGCCAUUUCUCUGGAACUUAAAUUCUAAGAGGGAAGCUAACAUGUGCAUAUAUAUAGAUAAUAUAUACAAGAUGGACAUAAGGUCCUUUUGAGAAAAGAGUGCACUCAAGCAAAUGAUUAAGAAAUACAAAUUAAAGCGCAGCUAGCAUUUGGUGCCUGUGGGAUAAUGAUAAGAUGUUUGCUUAAAAUUCAUAAGAAUGAAAAAGUAAUAUUUCAUAUUUCUCUUUUCCCAAGCAUCAGUCAUGUCUGCCUCUAGGCCUCUCAUGGUAGUGGGUGUUUUGUUGUUGUUUUGUAGACCUCUGGGUGUUUCCAUUAUGGUAGUCUCCUUAGAUUGGAGAUAUAUACAUAUGACUGGUAAUGAAGGUGGAUCAGUAAAAUCAAAAGACUGAGAGAAAGCUGAUGGCUUGACUUUUAUUUGCAGAAUAUUGGAAGACCUAGAAACCCAUCAGUCUUUUGGGUUGAUUACCAUGGAAAGAUACUGUUAAGCAUCAAAGAGGUUGCAAGUACACCACUGGAGAGAAUUCUUAUGUUGAUAAGAAGACAAAUCCAUUGAAGCGUUGAAUUACAGAAAAGUGGUGCUGCUUCUCAUUUCCUCUUGUUAGGUUUUUUUUUUUUGAGAGGAGGGUAUGGAGUAGACUACUAAUAAACAAUGUGGCAAUCAGAUGCUGAACAGAAUGGGGAGAAGAGUGAAAGCAAAUGACAUGAACUAGAUAGUUUUACAAGAGGCAGAGAUCACCCUACUGAGCCUCCUAGAUCUAAAAGAUUGAAAUGGUAGGAAUAACUAUUUGAAUAACCUUUCAAAGACUGGAUUUUUUGGUUGUUAAGUUUAUAGUAUUUAUCCUUUUGAAGUUAUUAAAGCAUAAAAUUGUAUCAAGAAAAAAGAGAAGUUUUAAAGUAGAGUGUUUCUGCCCUGAUCACCCCUCCUGGCCAUUGCCUAUUCCACAAAGUACAAGACUCAGUCUAUCUGCCAAGAAAUUACUUAUAAACUAGGUGGGCUUGAUUUAGCAAUGGGGUGGAUCCACUCCAUGAAGUAGUGAGACUUCCAUCACUGAAGUUGUUCACAUGAAGACUGAGGGAUCACUUCUUGGUGAUGUAAGGGGUGGGGAAGGUGUAUUCCUCCAUGGCAUGAAAAAUUGGAUUAAAUGAUUACUGUGAUGCCUUCCAAGUAGGUAAUAUAAAGAGAAUGAUUUAAGAAGGCACUAAUUCUAAAUAUUUGAAAGAAGAGGUGAAACUUUCUCUCCAAUUAGGGCUUGGAUCUGUAUUUGUUUUUAAGUCUAAAGACGGCAUUUUCCAUUCCUUUCUCAGAAAUAAGGUUUCCAGGCCAAUUUGUCAGAGACAAAGUGGGAGGUGAAGCAAAGUCAUUUGCCCAAAGGCUGCCAAGGUGCUCUCCCAUUGUCUUAGAAACUCCAGGAGUGAGUCACCACCAUGCAGAUCAACACAUACCAUACUCUUCAUACUCCUUACUUCCUCAGCUCUAACUUGACUUUAAAAGGUCUCCUUUGAAAUAUGUACUAAUAACAGUACUUUGAAUUUUUCUAUUGCUCUAUUUCUGAGACUUUAAAAUAUCUUUUAGUAAUUUGAAUUCCAUCACAAGAAUUUGGUCCUCCAAUAGACCUCCAGCCUGAAAUCCUAGCAUAAUUUCCUAAAUGUUUCUGCUGAUAUAGUUGGAGAAUUUGUGGGCAGUUGUAGAUGUGAAAAAAGACAAAUUUCCUGACUUGGGGGAAACAUAAAAAAAGAAGGGAAAAAAGAUAUCUGAAAAUGACAGGCAGUGACUUUGACUUUGAUUCUUAGAAAAAUUCUAUAACAUUUUAUUAAAUGAGUUCAGCUAGGUGGUUCAGUGGAUUGAGAGUGAUACCUAGGGAUGAGAUGGGUUAAAUCUGGCCUUACACACUUCUGGUUGUGUGACUCCACAUGAGUCACAUAACUCCCAUUGCUUAGCCCUUACAUCUCUUCUGCCUUAGAACCAAUACACAGUAUAUAUUCUAAGAUGGAUAAUAAAGGUUUUUAAAAAAGGGAAGAGGAAGCAAGUAGGUGGCUCAUUGGAUAAAUAGCUAGACAGGAAGAUGGGAAGUGCUGGGAUCAAAUUUGCCCUCAGACACUUUUUGGUUGUAUGGCCCUAUACAAGACACUUAACCCCCAUUGCCUAGCCCUUAUCGCUCUUACUCUUCUGCGUUGGAACUAAUAUAUAUUAUAUUUAAGAUGGAAGGUAAGGGUUUCAAAAACAAUAAAAAGAAGAUUACUGUCGAGAAAUGAGAACUGAUUUUAAAAGAGUCAGUUUGACUUCAUCAAGAAAGGAUCAUGUCAGAAAAAUGUAAUUAAAAAACUUAUUAGCAUAGUAGAUGAGAGGCGUGUGGGAUACAUUACUUAUGUAGAGCAUAAGAUCAUAGAUCUACAGUUAAAAAUAACCAAACCUUAGAGGCUUUCUAGUACCUUCAUUUUAUAAAUGAGAAAACCAAGGCCAGCUCAUUUCCCUUACCUUCGCAUUCUUUCUUCCUAUGCUGACAGUGCAUACACUGUUGUGAGAGGGCAUGUGGUACUCCCUACUGCUUCCAUAUGGUUCUGUUUACCAGCAAUCUUGACAUCCAAUUAAAUAGCCAAUAACAAUCUCAGAAUAGGGAAACUCGUAUCAAUAGACCAAGAUAUCAGUCUCUCAUGUUCAAUACCAGUAGAAUCUAUCCUUUGAUGAGCAUGUGAUUGCUCAUGGUGGAUGUAUGGAUGAAUAUAUCUUUAAGGAUAUAGCUCUUUCCAGAGCCAAUCUUUCUUAUAAGCUCAUAGGAUCAGAGAGUUAGAGAUUUAGAGCAGAAUGUGUCUAUACAGAGGACAUGUGGCUCCACCUUCUUAUUUCAUAGCAAAACGAAUCCCAGAGAGGUUAAUGACUUGCCCAGGGUCACACAGCUACUAAUUAUCUAAGACAGGAUUGGUACCCUGGUCUUCCUGAUUACAAAUUCAGGGCUUUAUCUAUUAUAUUACAGUGCCUUUUAGCAGAUGGCCUCUAAGUAACCUUACUAAGAAGAGCAGAAAUAAAGAAAAAUGGGCUUCUCCCAGUUUAUGAAUUAUGUAUUCCCUAGAUUAUAUAUUGCUUAGAAAAUGUCUUGGAGGUAUAUUAUUUUUAAGCAAACUUAUAACAAUGCCCUGCAUAUGGUAAGUGCUUAAUAUUUGCUUGUUUAUUGAGUGAGUAGCACCAGUGAUGCCAUGGAUAAAGUCUAGUCUCUUUUUGUUCCACUUUAUCAUUUGUUAGUUGUCUGACCAGGGCCAGUCACUCCAAUUUGUUUAGCCUCAGUUCCCUAAUCAGAAAAAAAAACAAACCCAAGAAUAAUAAUGAUAACCUAUUUACCAACCUCAAAGAGGUGCUUUAUAAAUAUUAAAUCACUAUUAAAGGGAGCAGUUAGGUAGGUAGCACAGUAGAUAGUGCCAGGCCUAUAAUAUGAAGAACUGGGUUCAAUUAUAGCCUCACAUACUUCCUUGCUGCGUGAUGUUGAACAAGUCAUUUUACCCUGUUUGCCUAACCCUUUUUCUUCUGUCUUAGCAUUAUUACUGGGACAAAAAGUAAGAGUUUUAAGAAAUGACUUUAGAAAAAUAAUACAUUAUCAUUAUUAUUUCAAAGUAAUCUUUAUAUAAAUAGUUCUAUUAUUAAUAAUAAUUUAUUACACAUUCUAAAAAUUGGGAAAUUUUGAUAAACAUGUAGGCAGGUAAUUUGAUCCUUAAAUGUCAGGGAACUCCUCAUUUAAUACUCAAAUGUAGGAGCGGUAUAAAGCUGACAAAACCUUCCACUCCUCCUUGACUCCACCUGAAAAGGAGAGACAAGUGAGAUUCAGAGGACAGUGCUAUUGAGAAGUCAGGCAAGGCAAUCUAAUUUAACAAAGAUUUAUUCACCAACUACUGAGGAGACAUUGUCCUAGGUCCUAGGGAUACAAAGACAAAAGGAAGCAUUCCUAGUCUUAUUCCUAAAAUUGUUCCAAAGUCAUCCUGCAUUCCUGACUGACUCCAGUUUUCUUGGUGGCUGGCUACCAGCAUGGUUCCUCUAAGUCAUCUUGUUGGGAUUGGUCACUCCAUUCACCUCACUUUGACCUGAAUAAUGUCUUUGUGUAUGUUCUUAAUGUCCCUUCCCAGCCCUCCCCCACCCAGUUUUGGUGGCUCAGUUCCCUAUAUCCUCCCCGCCCCAACCCCACAGUCCAAGCCAGCUGCCUCCAGAAAUCCCCAUCUAGGAGAGAUCAUUAACUUUUUAAAGCCAUAUGGAGGGCACUGAACACAAAGGAGCUUAGUGUCUCUACACCCUCUCUCCUUUGGUGAUCUCACCUCCCAAGAGUUCAAUUAUCAUUUCUAGGCAGAGGAGGACUAUAUCUGCUUACCCAGCCCUAAUCUCUCUCCUGAACUCCAGUCCCCAUAGAGUCAACUGCCUAUGGACAUUUCCUAUUGGCACCCAAACUUAACGUACUGAAGCCAGAAUUCAUUACCUUUCCCUAAAAACCUUCCCCCUCUUCUUUGUUUUCCUAUUUCUGUUUAAGGAAAAGGUCCUUCCCAUCACUCAGAUUCAAAUUCCCAGAAUUAUCCUGAAUUUUUCUUACUCUUUCAUCACCCAUAUCCAAAAAAUCAUAGAAUUUUGUUGAUUCUAUUUCAAUAGCAUAUUACACCCCUCUAAUCACAGGCUACUCAUUACCAUCCUACCUUCAUCACCUCAGUUCUGGACUGUUGUAAUAGAUUCCGAGUUGGUCUCUCUGUAUCUAGUCUCUACUCUCUCCAAUAUAUUUUUUUCUGCACAGCUUCCAAGGGAAAUUCUUAAGCAAGGUCUAUCCAGGUCAUUUGCCUCCUGGAAAAACAAAAAAAAGAAUUGUAAUAAUUAGAAUUUAUAUAGCCCUUUAAAGUGUACAAUCGUAACCAGUAUUCUCUCUAAGUGAAUAGGUAUAAUUGCUAUUAUGUUUCUAAUUUUACAGAUGAGGAAACUGAGGCUGAAAGAUUGAUACUUACCUGGUCACUCAGCUAGUUGAUACUGAAGGCUAAUUUUGAAUCCAAAUUUUGCUGAUUCUUAUAUCCAGAUGUAUAUUCACUGUGCCACCUUGAAGAAAAAUGAAGAUAACUCUAGAAGCUAUCUUUUGCCUCUAAAUAUCAAAUAUAAAGUCAUUUAUUUGUCAUUCAAGACUCUUCCCAGUUUGGCUCCAGCUUACCUUUCCAGCCUUAGUCUACAUUGCCCAAAUAGGCUAUUUGAUGCUUCUUGUAAUACAACAUUCUUGACUCUAAGGCUUUGCAUGGGCAGUUGCCCAUUGUAGGAAAGCUCUUCUUCCUCUCUUCCUCAGAGUCUCACUAGUUGUUUCAAAACUCAGCACUAAUGUUACUUCCAAUAUGAGGUUUUUCUCAUUCACCAAGCUGCUAGUGGUUCUCACUCCUUUGCUCUAAAUUACUUUAUGGUUAUUUUGUGUUUAUUCUCCCUACAUUUUGUUCUUACUCGUAAUUGUAUAUGAUCUCUCCCCUUGAUACUUAUUGAUUGACUCAGAAAAGCCUUUAUCAAAUUCAAAAGAAAAAGAAAAGAACAAAAUAAAGGAAAAAAAGAAUCUGGAACAAAAUGUGUUCUUGGUACUCAUUAUUAUUGAAAGUGCUAACUGAGUCUUUCCAUGAAAAAAAAAAGCCUUAGGGUAGUUAGAAAGUAGCUAAAUCCUUUCCAAUAAAAUCAUUGAUAGUAUAGAAGUCUUCCUACAAACACUUAAAGCAAAUUGGGAAUUUAGCACAGUCGUUGAGACUGGGAAAUUGUAUGUACAUUUCAAGAAAUGGGGAUGCUUAUUUACAGAGCUAUAGAAAGCCAGGCAUCUGUCAAAGUAUUGAAGAAAAUAAAAAUUGGUGCUGAUUUUCAAUGACAGAAAAAUGUGAUCCUGGUAAUUAUGGCAUAAUUAUGAUGCACUAAAUCUAAUUUUAGUAGUCAGAUAAAAGAAAGCCUGGAAAACUAUCUGGAGGAGAAGAAACAAAAUCCAUCAACUUUUCAAGGCUAAUGGAACCAUGGGAAAUAACAGGAUUGGGCUAUAGAAAACCAAUCAUCCUUGACAAGCUCGAUUCCCUUUGUAUUGUUUGUAUAGAAAUAUUAAAUUUGCAGAUGAAAGAAGAUAUAAGAUGUUUUCAAAAUUCUUGACUCAAGGUCUAAGGUUGUUAUUCUGGGUGUUUUCUCUUGUUACCUCUCUGGACAGCAAUAUUUUUAAGGCAUAAAUUGAAAAUAUGUUUAUCUGCAUAUUCUUGCCCAUGCACUUACAUUACUAU